ACUCCUACGGGAGGCAGCAGUGGGGAAUUUUGCGCAAUGGGCGAAAGCCUGACGCAGCAACGCCGCGUGAGUGAUGAAGGCUUUCGGGUCGUAAAGCUCUGUCGAGGGGAAAGAAGUGUACGGGGGCUAAUAUCCUCUGUACUUGACGGUACCCCUAAAGGAAGCACCGGCUAACUCCGUGCCAGCAGCCGCGGUAAUACGGGGGGUGCAAGCGUUGUUCGGAAUUAUUGGGCGUAAAGCGCGUGUAGGCGGUUUGCUAAGUCUGAUGUGAAAGCCCCGGGCUCAACCCGGGAAGUGCAUUGGAAACUGGCAGACUUGAAUACGGGAGAGGGUAGUGGAAUUCCUAGUGUAGGAGUGAAAUCCGUAGAUAUUAGGAGGAACACCGGUGGCGAAGGCGGCUGCCUGGACCGAUAUUGACGCUGAGACGCGAAAGCGUGGGUAGCAAACAGGAUUAGAUACCCUGGUAGUCCACGCCGUAAACGAUGAGAACUAGGUGUCGCGGGUAA
rnacentral:rRNA from 1 species